GGGAGAUCCAUGGUCGCGGGUUCGCGGACGGGAGUGGGCGGUGUGAGGGGCCUUGGGCUGGAAGGGCCCUGCUUUAAGCCGGCGUUGGGCCUGAAUCGUCCCGAAUCCCUUCAGCAGCGGCUUAGCCGGCUCUGACGCAGGUUUCCAGCCGUUUAACGUCGAUUAACGGGUCAAUCCCGGGAGACCCGGAGGGAUUAGGGGCAGGCCGGGCUCCCCAGCGCCGCCUGGCCCCGGGAGAAGCCGCUCUCCUCAGGGCUGCAGGCCCUGCUGCAAGAAGGACGCAGGCUGCAAUCGAGCUGGAGGGUUUAUUUAGCAUCUGCGAGCAAGAACAAAACCACCUUUAUUUUUCUCUUUUAUUUUUGGCUAGGAAGGAAACCAAACGUAAAUCAGCUGUGGGAGCACGAAAGCACAGACUGGGCUGGCUGCUGGACCUCAUCUCCGGUGGCCGUGGGCAGGCACAACGAGCGACAGAUGCAGCUCGAGGGCAGCGGAGGAGGAUCCAGCCUGAUUUUUCAAGAGGUUUUUUUGCUACCACAGGAGCUGUUUCCCCAAGACAGGAGGUGCCCGGUUCGGUGGGGCUGGCUGAGCCUGGAGAAAAGCCGCUGCCUCGGGGCUGUCGGAGCAGCGCCAUCGGAGAACCAGGAUGCCCAGGUCUGCAGACCUCCCGAUCUGUGUCCUGUGCCUGGGCAACAGCAUCUUUGCAGGUUUUCUAAGGAAAUAUCUUUUUUUUUUCUGUUUUUUGCCCUCUCUCCCCUCCUUAUACCCGCUCCCUGGGUAAGUGCCAACAUGGAUUGAGGCCCCUUCAUUGCCAUGAGCUCGGCAGAGGCAUCACUUCUUGCAACAGAAGGUUUUUGGGGCCUUGUGGGUAGGAAAAGCCCAACUCUGGUUUUCCUGAAAGCCCACUCGAGGGUUUUAUGUGAGAUUCCUGCACAGCUGGCCUGCCCUGCCGAGACCUGUUCAACUUGGGUUUGAAAACCUGGCCAUAACAUUUUAAAUAAAAUAAA